UGGGGAAUAUUGGACAAUGGGCGCAAGCCUGAUCCAGCAUGCCGCGUGAGUGAUGAAGGCCCUAGGGUUGUAAAGCUCUUUCACCGGUGAAGAUAAUGACGGUAACCGGAGAAGAAGCCCCGGCUAACUUCGUGCCAGCAGCCGCGGUAAUACGAAGGGGGCUAGCGUUGUUCGGAUUUACUGGGCGUAAAGCGCACGUAGGCGGACUUUUAAGUCAGGGGUGAAAUCCCGGGGCUCAACCCCGGAACUGCCUUUGAUACUGGAAGUCUUGAGUAUGGUAGAGGUGAGUGGAAUUCCGAGUGUAGAGGUGAAAUUCGUAGAUAUUCGGAGGAACACCAGUGGCGAAGGCGGCUCACUGGACCAUUACUGACGCUGAGGUGCGAAAGCGUGGGGAGCAAACAGG
rnacentral:rRNA from 1 species